rnacentral:lncRNA from 1 species
AAACUUAGUUGAAAUAAAAGAUCUCAUUUAAGACGUUCAUAUUAACUAUUGUACUUCAAACACUUUUUAAUUUUUAGUUUGAAUCGAGUACCUAUAUUUUGACACCGCAUAUGAAUAUUAUGCAAUUAAUGGUUCCCAAGAAUCGGUUAAUUUAAUUUUCCACAGGGUUGAACAUUGUAAUGUUGAAAGUUCCGUUAAGGACUUUGGUGAUGAUUUGUCUUGUUUUGUUUUAAUUCGGUAGACUCAAGAAAUCUUGAAAUCAAUUUGAGUAAGAGGCUUUUUGAGAAGAAAAUUUGUCAAAGAAGAUCUUAACAAGGUGAAACCCUUUAGAGAAAAAAUAAAAACCUUCGAGAAAUAUGUCAAUGAGGUGAAACAGUAUGAGGAAAUAUAAAACCUUUUGAGAAAAAUUUCAAUACUGUGAAUUUUUUUUUGAAUAAAUUGAGUAGCAAAUCUAGAAAAAUAUGUGUAGUGAAUGAGUUGUGUAUUUAGCGAAUAAGUUGUGUAUGUUAAAUGAGGGUAUUAUAGGAAGUUUGGGUAUGUUAAAUGAGGGUAUUAUAGGAAGUUUGGGUAUGUGUAUUUAGUAAAAUGUUAAAAAAAAAGUUAAUAAAUGGUGUAUUAAAUAUGCAAUAUGUAUCUAGUAAUUAGGGAUGUGUUAAUAAAAUUUCUCUAAAAAAAUUGAUCACUAGCAUUAGUAUCUAAAAAAAAAAUUAAAAAACUUUCACAUUAUUAUUAGCAUAUUAAAAUUAAUAGAGGGUACUUUAGGUAUAAAAUUUGAUUCCUGAUGGUAUUAUUCCUAAACCCACAUCUCUCCUUAGUAUUACAAUUCCGGGUUAUUAAAGAAUUAAUUCCUGGUUAAGUGGUGGGACCCACACUUAUUUUGAUUCCAUUAUGUACUUACACAGGAAUAACAAUCAUUCUAUUUCAAUUUCAUUCCAGAUAAGUAAACGUAUCAUAAUAUUUACAUUCCUAGCACCACAAGGGUGUGUGACUCACGCCAACAUG